rnacentral:lncRNA from 1 species
GAAUGAGGUCGCUAUGAGGAGCGGGGGACUAAACAGAGCUUCGGGGUCCUUGGGGACUUGUGCCUGGAGCUGGCACAUGGCGUCCACCACAGAGCCGUGUGGCAAGGCACUUCGCUCUCCGCGCCUCAGUUUUUCCACCGGCAAAGGGCAGAUCCAAUAGGCCUAUGGUGUGAGUUCAUUUUAGGAUCAAAUGAAAGAACAGCUCUGCAUAGUGCACAGAUCUGCAGACAGGCAGGGCCCACAGAAACCUCUCCGCCAGAAGCGGUGCGGGAAGAUGAGCAGAACUUCCCCUCACGCUGAUGCAGCGUCCCCCACCCCCGCCAACUCCGGCCUCCUUCCCUCCCCCAGGUCCAGUGGUACAGGAGGGAACCUGGGUCCCUGGUGGCUGGAGAGGGAGCAGGUGCAGGUCAGGGCGUGGCGCUCCUCAGACUCCUGGAGCAUCCUGCAGGACAGCGCGCUUCGGGACUUGCCGCGUAUACAUGCCUUCCAGCAUGUCCAUUUAGCUGCUGCACAGGGAGAGAAGGACCACCCGGGAACCCAACAGGAUCUCUGGCAACAGGAUAGCAGCCUUGGAAGAAAGCGAGCUUUCCACCCCUGGAAGUGGCCAGGCAGACAUGAGCCCGGUCUUGGAAGGGUUCCUGCACUGGGUACGCACAUUAUACUAACAAGAGUAAGUGGCUGGCUCCCUCCCUUGACACUCCCAGAACAAUACAGUGUCCCAGGCGCGAUCCCAAAUACUCUGCAGGGACCUUCCACGGCACUCACAGAACUCUGA